GCAUGGCUGUCGUCAGCUCGUGUCGUGAGAUGUUGGUUAAGUNCCGCAACGAGCGCAACCCUUACCUUCAAUUGCCAGCACGUUAUGGUGGGAACNUUGAAGGAACUGCCGGUGACAAGCCGGAGGAAGGUGGGGAUGACGUCAAGUCCUCAUNNNNNUUACGGGCCGGGCUACACACGUGAUACAAUGGUAACUACAAAGAGCAGCGAUGGAGCAAUCUUCAGCAAAUCUCCAAAAGUUACCUCAGUUCGGAUUGUACUCUGCAACUCGAGUACAUGAAGUUGGAAUCGCUAGUAAUCGUAGAUCAGCGCGC
rnacentral:rRNA from 1 species